UACGUAGGGUGCAAGCGUUGUCCGGAAUUAUUGGGCGUAAAGAGCUCGUAGGCGGUCUGUCGCGUCGGCUGUGAAAACUCGGGGCUCAACUCCGAGCUUGCAGUCGAUACGGGCAGGCUAGAGUUCGGCAGGGGAGACUGGAAUUCCUGGUGUAGCGGUGAAAUGCGCAGAUAUCAGGAGGAACACCGGUGGCGAGGGCGGGUCUCUGGGCCGAUACUGACGCUGAGGAGCGAAAGCGUGGGGAGCGAACAGG
rnacentral:rRNA from 1 species